ACGCCCUCACGGGUGCUACCCAGAAACCCUUUGUGAACUAUACUUAAUCGUUGCCUCGGCAUUGGUUGGCUUCGAAUGAAGUCCCGUUUACGCGGAGCAGACCGGCCGACGGCCCUCAUAAACUCUUGUUUUUGUAUUAUCUUCUGAGUAAACAACUAUAAAUGAAUCAAAACUUUCAACAACGGAUCUCUUGGUUCUGGCAUCGAUGAAGAACGCAGCGAAAUGCGAUAAGUAAUGUGAAUUGCAGAAUUCAGUGAAUCAUCGAAUCUUUGAACGCACAUUGCGCCCAGUGGUAUUCCACUGGGCAUGCCUGUUCGAGCGUCAUUUCAACCCUCAAAAGCUUGCUUUUGGUGUUGGAGGAAUACCCGUAAAAGGGUACCCUCUGAAAUUUAGUGGCGGGCUCGCUAGAAUUUUGAGCGUAGUAAUUUUUACCUCGUUUUUAAAGACUAGUGGGACUUCUUGCCGUAAAACCCCCCAACUUUCUGAAAUUUGACCUCGGAUCAGGUAGGAAUACCCGCUGAACUUAAGCAUAUCAAUAAGCGGAGGAAAAGAAACCAACAGGGAUUGCCUUAGUAACGGCGAGUGAAGCGGCAACAGCUCAAAUUUGAAAUCUGGCUUCGGCCCGAGUUGUAAUUUGCAGAGGAUGUUUAUGGUGCAGUACCUACCGAGUUCCCUGGAACGGGACGCCACAGAGGGUGAGAGCCCCGUCUGGUGGGAUACUAAACCUGUGUUAAACUCCUUCAACGAGUCGAGUAGUUUGGGAAUGCUGCUCUAAAUGGGAGGUAAAUCUCUUCUAAAGCUAAAUACCGGCCAGAGACCGAUAGCGCACAAGUAGAGUGAUCGAAAGAUGAAAAGCACCUUGAAAAGGGGGUUAAACAGUACGUGAAAUUGUUGAAAGGGAAGCGAUUAUGACCAGACUUGUGCCGUGUGGCUCAUCCGAGGUUCUCCCCGGUGCACUCCACACGGCUCAGGCCAACAUCGGUUUUCGUCGGGGGAUAAGAAUAGUAGGAACGUAGCUUUCUUCGGAGAGUGUUAUAGCCUAUUAUACGAUACCCUGACGGGGACCGAGGACCGCGCU
rnacentral:rRNA from 1 species